rnacentral:rRNA from 1 species
UACAGAGGGUGAGAGCGUUGUCCGGAAUCACUGGGCGUAAAGGGCGCGUAGGUGGCGACCCAAGUCGAUGGUGAAAGCUCGCCGCUCAACGGCGAGUCGGCCACCGAUACUGGGUUGCUCGAGCACUGUAGAGGCUAAUGGAAUUCCGGGUGUAGCGGUGGAAUGCGUAGAGAUCCGGAAGAACACCGGUGGCGAAGGCGGUUAGCUGGGCAGUUGCUGACACUGAGGCGCGACAGCGUGGGGAGCAAACAGG